GACGAACGCUGGCGGCGUGCUUAACACAUGCAAGUCGAACGAAGAGUGAUGGAAGCUUGCUUCUAUCAAUCUUAGUGGCGAACGGGUGAGUAACGCGUAAUCAACCUGCCCUUCAGAGGGGGACAACAGUUGGAAACGACUGCUAAUACCGCAUACGAUCCAAUCUCGGCAUCGAGACUGGAUGAAAGGUGGCCUCUAUUUAUAAGCUAUUACUGAAGGAGGGGAUUGCGUCUGAUUAGCUAGUUGGAGGGGUAACGGCCCACCAAGGCGAUGAUCAGUAGCCGGUCUGAGAGGAUGGACGGCCACAUUGGGACUGAGACACGGCCCAGACUCCUACGGGAGGCAGCAGUGGGGAAUCUUCCGCAAUGGACGAAAGUCUGACGGAGCAACGCCGCGUGAGUGAUGACGGCCUUCGGGUUGUAAAGCUCUGUUAAUCGGGACG
rnacentral:rRNA from 1 species